rnacentral:rRNA from 1 species
GACAGAGGUGCCGAGCGUUAGGCGGAAUCACUGGGCUUAAAGCGUGUGUAGGCGGGCGGGCAAGUACCUUGUGAAAUCCCACGGCUCAACCGUGGAACGGCUGGGUAUACUGCCUGUCUUGAGCCAACUAGGGGCGAGCGGAACAGACGGUGGAGCGGUGAAAUGCGUAGAUAUCGUCUGGAACGCCGAAGGUGAAAACAGCUCGCUGGAGUUGUGCUGACGCUGAGACACGAAAGCCAGGGGAGCGAACGGG